GUCACUCGCUCUGAGGGAAGCCCAGUUGUCAUGUUGUGAAUACCCAAGCACGCUAGAGAUGGGUCUACGUAGAACUAAGACCUCCUACCAACAAGUCUUGUACCAUCUUGGAAAGUGAAUCCUCCAGCCCAGUCACAUCUGCAGAUAAUGUAACCCUGGCUGACAUUGUGACUCUAGCCUUAAGAUUCAUGAGAUACCCAGAUCCAGAACUAUCUAGCUAAGCUGCUCAAUAAUUCCUGACACGGAGGAACAAUGAAAUAAUGCUUGAGUGUUUUUAAGACAAAAAAAAAAAUGUUGGCAUGAUUCUUUAUAUAGCAAUGCAUAACUAAUAGAAACCCCUAGUAUAAUGCCUUGAGCUUCUGGGGCUACUUGAGUUUUAGUUUACAAACUUUUCUUCUUACCAAGACAUGUGUGUUUCCCCAACAGGAGUGGGCUCUUUUCUUCCUAUGCUUUGGGCCUGUUGCUGAUUCUGGUGCACUGUGGGGCAAACUUCUUCCUUGCUUGUGCUGAUUAUCUUCUACUUAGAUGACCUGACAUCUCUUCCUGCAUCCGAUUCCCAUAGCCUUGUCUUGCUCCUUGCCACUUUCCUAUUUGCAUCCUAACAGAGAUCUACUGGAAAGAAACUGCAUCUCACCCUACAGCACUGACUUUAAAUGUAGAAGUUUCCUGCCAUGUGUCACUGUGGGUGAAGGAAAAGUUAAGAAGACGUGAUUCAGGGCAAACUUCAAAACCCACUCAGAAGAAUGGUGAGGACAUCUGCUGAGACAUCAUCAUUUUCUGGAAAUUUAAAGCAAAUUGACAUGAUCUUUCUUGCAGGCUGACAAACUGCCCUCCGAAAAUAGAAGCACUGAUUUCCCGUCCUCUCCAACUUCUCAUCCUCCUACAAGUUAAUGAAGAUUUCCAUUUAUUCUUCCACACAUUUGCCAGCAGUGGACGUCAUAUCAUCAUUAAGCCAACUAACUCUAGUGUUUGGUGGCAAGUUUGAGAUAAAGAAUGAGCCACAGGACCAUAAUUGGUCAGGCAUUCCCACCAAUGGGAGCUCGUUCACGAAUUGUUUAUUUUUCUGGAGCUUUGUGACUAUGUUCCUUAUGUUGACAAUAUGUCAUUCUAAUGAUUUCAUUUUAGCAGUAAUGAAUUAUGACUUCGCUCCUGCAGCAAGGCAUAUGGCAUCCCUUUUCAAUCCCAAGUGAAUCAAUGUUGUAAUAAUGAAC